rnacentral:rRNA from 1 species
CCUACGGGUGGCAGCAGUGGGGAAUAUUGGACAAUGGGCGAAAGCCUGAUCCAGCCAUGCCGCGUGUGUGAAGAAGGCCUUCGGGUUGUAAAGCACUUUCAGUGGGGAAGAAAGCCUUGGGGCUAAUACCCUCGAGGAAGGACAUCACCCACAGAAGAAGCACUGGCUAACUCCGUGCCAGCAGCCGCGGUAAUACGGAGGGUGCGAGCGUUAAUCGGAAUUACUGGGCGUAAAGCGCGCGUAGGCGGUCUGAUAAGCCGGUUGUGAAAGCCCCGGGCUCAACCUGGGAACGGCAUCCGGAACUGUCAGGCUAGAGUGCAGGAGAGGAAGGUAGAAUUCCCGGUGUAGCGGUGAAAUGCGUAGAGAUCGGGAGGAAUACCAGUGGCGAAGGCGGCCUUCUGGACUGACACUGACGCUGAGGUGCGAAAGCGUGGGUAGCAAACAGGAUUAGAUACCCGGGUAGUC